GCCUGGGUGGCUCAGUGGGUUGAGCGGCCGACUUUGGCUCAGGUCAUGAUCUCACAGUCUGUGGGCUCGAGCCCCACAUCAGGCU
rnacentral:tRNA from 1 species